ACUUGUUAUCAGAGAAUUGGAUCUGGAAUUCAACAUCCCUGUAAUAAGAGAGACAUUGUACAGAACCUAAAAACACUGCUAAAGUCAACAGGUUUAAAAACAGUUGAGCAAGUACUUAGCAAAUUUCUGAAAGAAAUUCAACAAUUUAAAAAUAUUGAGUUAGACAACACUGUUACAUUGUUGACUGGAGGAACUCCUUUAAGUCUGCAGAUAGGGAAAAAGCCAACCCUUAAAACUAUCUCUACCCAAACUUUCUAUAAUAUCAAAAGAAAGCAUGAUAUGUCAGACUGUAUUAUUGAUUCAAUAGCAAUGGGAUUAAGAAAAGAUUUGGGUAGAUUAGGUGUGGAAUCUAAUUCUUCCAAAAAAAUUAAGAUAAUGUCACAUACCUUAGAUAACUAUUACUCAGUGGAAAAAGUGGAAUUUUUAUUCAAAAAUAAAGUUAAAGAAAAUAAAAUUAUUGAAACUGUCAUUAAAGAUCUAGUGUAUGUCAAAGAUCCAGUAUCUCUAGUUAAUCAUGUUUGCAUUGCUAGGGGACUAGAAAUUGAGAAUAUUAUUAUUCGUGUAGGAAUAGAUAGUGGCCAAGGAUCUUUAAAAGUUAUUAUGAAUGUUUUUAACAAAGAAGUAAAUUAUGACUCUAAAGAAACCAAGAAUACUGGAGUGAACAAAGUUAUAAUAUUGGCUUUUGCCAAAAAUGUUUGCAAAAACCACACAAAUCUUCAAAUUCUUAUAGAAAAAACAAAGCUAAACAAUUUAAAGUUUUACCUUGCUGCAGAUCUUAAAUUAUGCAACAUAGUUUUGGGUUAGUCAGGACAUGGGGGAAAAUAUUUAUGUUUAUUUUGUGAUGGUGAUAAAACUAAUCUUGGAGAACUGAGAACCUUUAAUAUGCUAAAGAACAUGUAUAAAAACUUUGCUGAAAGUGGAUUUAAAAAAAAGCUCUAUACAGCUCUAUUAGAAUGUUAUACAUCUAUGUCUCCUGGUUGAGUCUGGAGAGAUGUAUGUGCUUGAUGUCAUCCCUCCUCCAGAACUCCAUUUAAUGAUGAAGAUUAUAACAGAAAUUUCAAAUGUAAGGAACUUGAUGUUGCUCUCGGGUUAAAAAAACACGGAAUUAUUUGGCAUGGGUAUAAUGGAGGUGGACUGGAUGGUAGAAAUGCUAACAAAAUAUGUAAGCUUUUGCCAGAUUUGGAAAAAUUUAUCUUAGAUAACUUUUCUUCUUACCAUCAAGUUGUUGAACUGUUAAAGUUUUUUUUUCAGUAGUAAACAUGUGUUUUGGAAUGAAACUCCAUGACGGUUAUGCUGAUGCCAUUGCAACAUAUAUAAGGAAGUUAAAGGAAAGCUAAUAGUAUGUGAAGACUACAUUUAACCACAAUCUUUCUAUGGGAUGGAAAAGUCAUAUAAUUGAACACCAUCUUGUCAUGUUUUUAAAUAGAACUAAGCUGCCAUUGGGAGUAUUUUCUGAACAAUGUUCUGAAUCUGUUCAUCAUAAUAUGUUAAAAACACUGAUCAGAUUCUCAACUUCAGAAUUCAGAGAGCCAUGUAGAGCUUCUUGAAUAUUCAAGUCAUAGAGUUUAGGUUCUUUCUUUACUAUUGAUUACAU
rnacentral:lncRNA from 1 species